rnacentral:misc_RNA from 1 species
GAAGAACACGGAGGAUGAGAUUCUAAAGGCGGCGGUGAUGAAGUAUGGGAAGAAUCAGUGGGCUCGUAUUUCUUCUUUACUUGUUCGUAAAUCUGCUAAGCAGUGUAAAGCUCGCUGGUAUGAAUGGCUCGAUCCUUCAAUUAAGAAGACUGAAUGGACUAGAGAGGAGGAUGAAAAACUACUUCACCUUGCAAAACUCAUGCCUACCCAAUGGAGGACAAUUGCGCCAAUCGUUGGCCGUACACCAUCACAAUGCCUUGAACGUUAUGAGAAGCUUCUCGAUGCAGCAUGUACUAAGGAUGAGAACUAUGAUCCUAAUGAUGAUCCAAGAAAAUUGAAGCCCGGAGAGAUUGAUCCUAACCCGGAAUCAAAGCCUGCUCGUCCUGAUCCUGUUGAUAUGGAU